rnacentral:lncRNA from 1 species
UUUGUGAUCUCAUUUUGAGCGAGAUGGGACUAAAUAUUCUAUAGCCAUUAGUCUAUAUAUAAAGAUACAAUGCUUCUAGAGGCCCAAACCGAGUCAGGAGUAAGAAGUUUGUGUCUUCUCUUAUGGAAGGGAAAGCUAUUCUUCUUUGCCUUAUGGUGCUUGUGCACCUAGGAAAUUCCAUUCAUAUUGGUAAGAAAUUGAUCUCCCCAUCCCUAUAUAUGUUUCCAUUCUCCUAUAAACCAAAGUAGGAUAAUAUUAUCACUUAAACAUCAUGAAUAUUUUCAUAUUUUUCCCAAUUUGGACUUCUUUUUAUGGUGUGUGUUUUUCUUUACAGAUAAAUGCAAGGAUCUAGUUCACCCGCAAGGAAAAACAUGCAAGGAUCUAAUUGCUUCUAUCGACCGUGAGUGCGAUUUGUCAAAUUGCCAACUGACGUGCAAAGAUUUGUUUGGAGCGAAACUCACAGCCUCAUGGUGUAUCAACCCUGUCCCAUACUAUUGGCAUUGUAGGUGUCGUGUCUGUUGGUAGAGUUGCACUGAACAAUCAUGUCAAAAAAUGGACAAAUGAUGUGAUCCAAUAAUAAAAUCUUUGUGUGACAUGCAUCUAAGAAUACAUAAUGAUUGCCAAAUUUAGGUGUUCUAUUCGAUUUUGUCAUGUGUGAUAUUGAUCUGGUAAUUUUAGGUUUGCAU